rnacentral:misc_RNA from 1 species
GUCUAGGCCCGGUGAGAGACUCCACACCGCGGAGAACUGCCAUUCUUUCCUGGGCAUCCCGGGGAUCCCAGAGCCGGCCCAGGUACCAGCAGCAGCCUUUGUCGCUUCAAACACCGCAAGUGUUCUUUUAAAAGAAUUAUAUCAACCUUUCAAGUGAAAUGCAACAUGUCUGAAACGUGGUAUCUGGAGAGGAACAGUAAGAGGACCUUGUGAGUGAAUAAUUUGUUUCCACAUUACAGAGUGGGUAAUAAGCAGAUUAGUAAAAACAAUUCUGCUUCACUUCAA